UAGAGAAGAUAAAUCCCUUGUAUGGGUCGAAGGAGAUGCUGAGACCUUGAAUUUUUCAGAUAAUUCAAUGGAUGAUUACACAAUUACAUUUGGAAUUAGGAAUGUUACACAUAUAGAGAAAGUUCUUGCUGAAGCUCAUAGCCAAGAACACAAUAAAGAUUACUCAAGAAAGAUCAUUAAUCCCUUGGUCUUUUCCUCUGCCACAACAACAAUGGGUUCGUUCGUAUUUAUUAUGGAAUGAUGGCUAGACAAUUGAUGGGAAUUGUUAGAAUGAAAGAAGAUGGACGUCUCCUAUAUCAAAAGUUAUGCCUAAUUUAGUUUCUUUUCUUUAUAGCAAAUAGUUUACAUGUUUGCAUACGAUCAAUUAUUUUAGUAUUAUUAAAGAUUUAUUCAUGUAUAAUUUUAUGUCAUAUUUGAAUUUAUUUUAUUUUUUAUUCAUUGAUUUUA